rnacentral:rRNA from 1 species
UACGUAGGUGGCAAGCGUUGUUCGGAAUUAUUGGGCGUAAAGGGCGCGUAGCGGUUUGUCGCGUCUGCCGUGAAAGUCCGGGGCUCAACUCCGGAUCUGCGGUGGGUACGGGCAGACUAGAGUGAUGUAGGGGAGACUGGAAUUCCUGGUGUAGCGGUGAAAUGCGCAGAUAUCAGGAGGAACACCGGUGGCGAAGGCGGGUCUCUGGGCCGAUACUGACGCUGAGGAGCGAAAGCGUGGGGAGCGAACAGG